UACGGGGGCAGUGGGAAUUUGACAAAUGGGCGAAAGCCUUAGAUCCAGCAAUGCCGCGUGUGUGAAGAAGGCCUUCUGGGUUGUAAAGCACUUUUGUCCGGAACAAAAGAACAAUUUGGUUAAUACCGGGGUCGAUGAUGGUACUGGAAGAAUAAGACCGGCUAACUGCUGUGCCAGCAGCCGCGGUAAUACGUAGGGUCCAAGCGUUAAUCGGAAUUACUGGGCGAAGCGUGCGUAUGGCAGGUUGUGCAAGACCGAUGUGAAAUCCCCGAGCUUAACUUGGGAAUUGCAUUAAGACUGCACGGCUAGAGUGUGUCAGAGGGGGUAGAAUUCCACGUGUAGCAGUGAAAACGCGUAGAGAUGCGGAGGAAUACCGAUGGCGAAGGCAGCCCCCUGGGGAUAACACUGACGCUCAUGCACGAGCGGGGAGCAAACAGAUUAGACACCUUCAAGUCCGCCUCUUUCAAACCGUACCUUCAAGCAACAUGCAACUUGAAACGAACAUACUUUGUAGUAACAGAGGGUUCGAUCAUGGCUCAGAUUGAACGCUGGCGUGGAUGCUUUACAUGCAAGUCGAACGGCAGCACGGACUUCGGUCUGGUGGCGAUAUGAACGGGUGAGUAAUGUAUCGGAACGUGCCUAGUAUGUGGAUAACUACGCGAAAGCGUAGCUUACUACUGCGUCAUUAUUCUCUUCAAAAGGGGACCUUCGGGCCCCGCACUAUUAGAUGGGCCGAUAUCGGAUUAGCGCUAUUGUGGGUAAUGGCUCACCAAGGCGACGAUCCGUAGCUGGUUUGAGAGGACGACCAGCCACACUGGGACUGAGACAUGGCCGUGACUACGGGAGGCAGCAGUGGGGAAUUUUGACAAUGGGGGAAACUCCUGAUCCAGCCAUCCCGCGUGUGCGAUGCAAGGCUCCGGUUGUAAAGCACUUUUGGCAGGAAAAGAAACGGCACGGGAUAACACCUCGCAACUGACGGUACCUGCAGCAGGUCAGCACCGGCUAACUACGUGCCAGCAGCCGUGGUAAUACGUAGGGUGCAAGCGUUAAUCGGAAUUACUGGGCGUAAAGCGUGCGCAGGCGGUUCGGAAAGAAAGAUGUGAAAUCCCAGAGCUUAACUUUGGAACUGCAUUUUAACUACCAGAGCCAGAGCGUGUCAGGAGGGAGGUGGAAUUCCGCGUGUAGCAGAAAUGUCGCGUGAUGCGGAGGGAAUGAUUAUGAAGGCAGCUCUCUGGGAUAACACUGACGCUCGCGCACGAAAGCGUGGGGAGCAAACAGGAUUAGAUACUCCUGGUAGUCCACGCCCUAAACGAUGUCAACUAGCUGUUGGGGCCUUCGGGCCUUGGUAGGCGCAGCUAACGCGUGAAGUUGACCGCCUGGGGAGUACGGUCGCAAGAUUAAAACUCAAAGGAAUUGACGGGACCCGCACAAGCGGUGGAUGAUGUGGAUUAAUUGAUGCAACGCGAAAAACCUUACCUACCCUUGACAUGUUCAAACUCUGAAGAGAUUUGGAGUGCUGCAAGAGAACCGGAACACAGGUGCUGCAUGGCUGUCGUCAGCCUGUGUCGUGAGAUGUUAAGUAAGUCCCGCAACGAGCGCAACCCUUGUCAUUAGUCGCCACGAAAGGGCACUCUAAUGAGACUGCCGGUGACAAACCGGAGGAAGGUGGGGAUGACGUCAAGUCCUCAUGGCCUUGCGGGCAGGGCUUCAAGACGUCAUACAAUGGUCGGGAUGAGGUCGCCAACCCGCGAGGGAGCCAAUCCCAGAAACCCGAUCGUAGUCCGGAUCGAAGCCUGCAACUCGACUGCGGAAGUCGGAAUCGCUAGUAACUGCGGAUCAGCAUGUCGCGGUGAAUACGUUCCCGGGUCUUGCACACACACCGCCCGUCACACCAUACGGAGUGGGUUUUACCAGAAGUAUACUCAACUGUAAGGAGGGCGAUACCACGGUAGGAUUCAUGACUGGGGUGAAGUUGUAAAUAAGGUAG
rnacentral:misc_RNA from 1 species